rnacentral:rRNA from 1 species
UACGGAGGUGGCAAGCGUUGCUCGGAAUCACUGGGCGUAAAGGGCGCGUAGGCGGGGAGGUAAGUCGGGUGUGAAAUCCCUCGGCCCAACCGAGGAACUGCGCCCGAGACUGCUUCUCUUGAGUCCCGGAGAGGAAGGUGGAAUUCCCGGUGUAGCGGUGAAAUGUGUAGAGAUCGGGAGGAACACCCGUGGCGAAGGCGGCUCUCUGGGACGGUACUGACGCUGAGACGCGAAAGCGUGGGGAGCGAACAGG